AUCGCUUCUCGGCCUUUUGGCUAAGAUCAAGCGUAGUAUCUGUUCUUAUGAGAAAUUGUUGGAAAUUGUCUUAAUCUCAAACCAAAAUUAAAUUUUUUAAAAGAAAUUCAAGUCAGCAACUCAC
rnacentral:snRNA from 1 species